CAAAAUUUCAUAAUUUUAUUAUCAAUCAGCAACGUAUAUGACAAAUUCACUUAUAAUAGUUUCUUGUUGUAAUACUGCACAAAAGUAUAAUCUCUUACAAAUUCACUUGUAGACAAGAGUGACUGAUGGCAGAAAUGGGAAUUGUGACAGAUUCCAUGAUACGUAUGCUUCUUUUUCUUAAUUUAAGCAGUGACUAUGGAAAUGGG
rnacentral:misc_RNA from 1 species